rnacentral:rRNA from 1 species
AGCAGUAGCCGCGGUAAUACAGAGGGUGCGAGCGUUAAUCGGAUUUACUUGGCGUAAAGCGUGCGUAGGCGGCUUCUUAAGUCGGAUGUGAAAUCCCUGAGCUUAACUUAGGAAUUGCAUUCGAUACUGGGAAGCUAGAGUAUGGGAGAGGAUGGUAGAAUUCCAGGUGUAGCGGUGAAAUGCGUAGAGAUCUGGAGGAAUACCGAUGGCGAAGGCAGCCAUCUGGCCUAAUACUGACGCUGAGGUACGAAAGCAUGGGGAGCAAACAGGAUUAGAUACCCCAGUAGUCCCUGUCUCUUAUAC